rnacentral:rRNA from 1 species
CCUACGGGUGGCAGCAGUGGGGAAUAUUGCGCAAUGGGCGAAAGCCUGACGCAGCGACGCCGCGUGAGGGCUGAAGGUCUUCGGAUCGUAAAACUCUGUCAGCAGGGAAGAACGGUCACUGUGCUAAUCAGCAGUGACUUGACGGUACCUGCAAAGGAAGCACCGGCUAACUCCGUGCUCGCCGCCGCGGUAAUACGGAGGGUGCGAGCGUUUAUCGGAAUUACUGGGCGUAAAGCGCUCGUAGGCGGUAUGUCAAGUCUAGGGUGAAAUCCCCGCGCUCAACGUGGGAACUGCCUUUGAAACUGGCAAACUGGAGUGUGUGAGAGGAUAGUGGAAUUCCAGGUGUAGGAGUGAAAUGCGUAGAUAUCUGGAGGAACAUCAGUGGCGAAGGCGACUAUCUGGCACAUAACUGACGCUGAGGAGCGAAAGCGUGGGUAGCAAACAGGAUUAGAUACCCCAGUAGUC